rnacentral:rRNA from 1 species
CACGUAGGGGGCAAGCGUUGUCCGGAUUUAUUGGGCGUAAAGAGCUCGUAGGCGGUUCGGCAAGUCGGGUGUGAAACCCCCAGGCUCAACCUGGGGACGCCACCCGAUACUGCUGUGACUUGAGUCCGGUAGGGGAGCGUGGAAUUCCUGGUGUAGCGGUGAAAUGCGCAGAUAUCAGGAGGAAUACCGGUGGCGAAAGCGACUCUCUGGACGGCAACUGACGCUGAGGCACGAAAGCGUGGGGAGCAAACAGG